rnacentral:lncRNA from 1 species
GGAGUCCCCUCGUUUCAGGCUCUUCAGUGUCAGUGCUCAGUAUCUGCCUUAGAGAACUACGAGAAGGGGCUGCUAGCAGCCGCCAUCCGGGGCACUGGGUGGCUGCAGGUGGUGGUGGCGAUGGAACGGUAGGAGGGCGGCCAGCAGCGGGAGCUUCUCCUGCCGGGCAGGAGGACGAGUAGAAGGGAGAGGCACCACCACAUGCUGGAGGCUGGAGCUUGCACCGCCGCAGCUCGCCUCACUGCAGUUGGAGGUGACGUUGGACACUACAGCUUGGCCAGAGUGGUAGAAAUGUUGUUGCAUAGGAUUACCAGGAGACACCAGGUGCUGCAGCAGCUUCGGGAUAACUUGAGGAUGCAUCCUGGGGAAGAGACACCUCUUGUCCAUGGCGCUGACUACUGAGGACAGCUUCGGUGUGGCUUUUCUGCGGCCAGCUUCUUUGAGGCCUUUUUCUUUCAUGUAGUACUCACUCCCUGAGGGCUUUUGAAAAGCAUAGGAGGCUUUAGGGCUGUUUCUGAGGGAAACUCCCCGAGAAGAUGGAGAGAGAAGGCGGCUCUGGCUGUGGGAGGAAGAGGAAGCCCAGUGCAGGAUGGUAGAGAGCAGUCUACAGCCUGAGACCCAUCACAAGGUUCCUUGUGAGACACCUGGGGGACUCCAAACAGCCGGAAUCCAUCUGCCCACUGGUCCGGAGACAGGGAUCCUCCGCCUCCUUCCAGGGUUGAUGGCUCAGGAGGCCUUCUCUGCAGGGGACCAGGACACAGCUGUGUUGGGAGUGGAAGAGGAGGAGGCCCCCGACAUCGGCAUAUACCACUGCCCAAACUAUGAGAAAACCCAUGUGAAGUCCACCUUGUUAAAGACAUAGUGGCCCAUGUGCCGGACAGUCAGCUCACGCUGGGCCACAUGGAGGAGCACAGCUUCACCGAGCCCAUCCUCAUCCCUAAGAAAGACGGGCUGGGCUUGGCUGUCCCGGCCCCCACGUUCCAUGCAGGCCAGGCGUCCUGUGUUUUCAUUUGCUAAUCUGGCCACCCUCGCUAAGGCCUGUCACCUGGCCACCUCGCAGCAUCACCAGGUCAGAGGAAGAGUGGUCGGGGCACUUCACUGAGCCAAGAGAAAAGCAGGUGGGUGAAGCUGGACGUUGGCACCCAGAGCCUCAGCAUGCAGCCCCUGGCAGCUCCUGCCGUGUGUGAGGGCAGCCAAGGGUGUGUGCCCACUGGCAGCUCCUGCCGUGUGUGAGGGCAGCCAAGGGUGUGUGCCCACUGUACACGUCCUGGCCUCGGGAGGCUGUGCCACCUUCCCAGGGUGCUCAGGCUCCGCCCGCCACCGCCCCAUGGCUGCAGUGCAGUGUGGCUGGGACAGAUGUCACCAAGCAGAAGGACUGCAAGAUGAAGCUGCAGGAGUUUGUGGACUAUGACUACAUCACCAACCACAAGCGGGUCCUCACCAUCACCAACCUUGAGUUCUUCGACACCCAGUGAGCGCCGACACCAUGGGGGUGUGGGGGAUGGGGUUGGGGCAGGGGCUCUGUGCUGUCCUUGGCAGUCGCCUGAGAAGCACAGGACGAAGGUCUCAUAGUCUGGAAUACUGCACACGGCACGCACUGAUUUUUCCUGUUUCUCUCUCUCUCUUAAAUUUUUUUCCUGUUUUCUUCCUUUUUCUUAAAGACUGGCCCACAGCUGUUUUUCUUUUAAUGUAUGAAGGUGACACGUUGUGAACAAUUCAAACAAAAAUAAGGAGCAAAAAGGCAAAGCUGCCUCUGACCUUGGCCACCCCCAUCCCACUCCUCGGAGAGAACCAUUGGUAAUGGUGUGUGGUUUUUCCCAGAAUGCACACACUCAUGAUGCAGACACAUCUAUCACACACCCACUUAGGACACAACAUCCACGCUUACUCAUGAACACACUCCACUCAUGACACCAACUUGUAGACACGCUCAUGACACACUGACUCAUCUACACUCCAACACAUGACACAUUCAUGACACUUACAUUCGCUUGUGGACACACAUGACAUGCUCACUCAUAGAUACAUCACACACAGUCAUGACACACUCAUACCUACUCAGACACGUGGUGCACUCACACUCAUGGACACACUCACCAGGACAUGACACAUUCACAACACUCACCCAUGGACACACUCAUGCCACAUUCAUAGAUACGACACAGCGGACACAUGAACACACUCAUGACACACAGCACUCACCAACACGGUACACUGACAUUCAUGGAAACACUCGCCAACACACUUGUGACAACACACCGACACACUCGCUCACAUGACAUGGACAUGUGAUACACUCAUGGACAUUCACGGAUACACCUGUGGACACACUCGAUACAUAGGACUGACACACUCAGACUCAUGACAUGCUUAUGACACACAUCCUUGAUGCACUGAGACACUGACUCACUGACACACUCACACUCCCAACACCCUCAUCCCUGGCACAGUUACCGACACUUGCACACACCCAUGUAGACACCUACACUCACACACGAGAUCCUGUAUGGGUGGCUGUUGUGAAUCGCAGGCUGCCUUUGCAUUUCCUUAUCUUCCCUGGAUGUGAGUUGGCUGGAUUUGACAGUGACCUCAGGGGUCGCGGGUGCCCUGUUGUCAGCUCUGAAGAGCAGUGGCUGUUACCCAGGUGACACCAGAGGCACCUGGGCUGAGUGUGAGAAAUGAUAUCUAUGCUCCAGCCCCGCACGUUACAGUCACAUGCACGUGGCCAAUCUGGAAAGACUUUCCAGUUCCCGGGAAAGGAGUUUCCCUCUCGGGUGGAUGAUUUUGGGGCCUUCUCAUUGUCUUCUGGGGGUGGAGGCCAGCAUCAGAUCCAGUCUCCCGCCAGGGCCACAGCCAGCGCCUGGGCUCGUUUUGCCCUCUGUGAUCCUGUGUGCUCCUCUGUGAAACGGGAGCUGUGACCUGUGGCCCGCAGGUGGUGAGAGAGUGUGGGACAUGCCUCACAGAGCAUGUUUCCUGCUCCAGGGGACAUCAAAAAGGGAGUCCCAGGUUCCCUCACCACCUUCCUGUCCCACCCCAAGAAUGUCCAGCUUCGUGGAGCCACCUGACACCAUGAAGAAACUGUUCCGGGUAGAAAACUGGCCAGAUGAUGCAUUGCUGGCCAAGCCCAAAGUGACCAAGUCCUGCCUGAUCUGUGUGAAGGACAGCUACACCGACUUCCACAUCGACUGUGGGGGCGCCUCCGCCUGGUACCACGUGCUCAAGGGGGAGAAGACCUUCUAUCUCAUCAGGCUGGCCUCGGUCGACAUCUCCUGUAUGAGUGCUGAUAGUCUGCCGCUAACCACAGCGAGAUGUUCUUUGCUGACCAGGUUCACAAAUGCUACAAUUGCAUCGUCAAGCAGGGCCAGACCCUCUUCAUCCCCUCAGGCACUGACAGAGCUCUCGUGGGCCCCGAGCCCUGCAGCCUCCCAGGGCGGUUGUCCCCUGGUCCACUUCAGCUAUGCAGGGCCCAGUGGGGAAGCCUGAGCUGGUGUGUCUGGGGCUUGGACCCACCCCCAUCGUCGCCUGCUUGAUGGUCAGUGCACUGAGAAUGGCUCUUUGGUGGCUUCCAGAGCAUAUGAAGUUGAAAAGAGGUUGAAACUAGGCAGCCUGACUCAGUUUCCCAACUUCAAAACUGCCUGCUGGUACAUGGGGAAGCACCUGCUGGAGGCGUUCAAAGUAACAGUGUGCAGCUGAGGGAUCCAGGCUGGUGGGAAGCUCUGCUCCAUGUCUUCUCCCAGACACCCAUAUUCAGUGGCUCUUACUCCCAUACAUGCUCAACAUAUGGCCUCUAUACCUGGUUCCAUGGGAACUACAAAGAUGUUAUUUUCCAAGCAACUUUAAGGAGGCGAGGAAGUGCCGGCAAGUCUGAUCUUUAAAAUGGUGACUAAAUAGUAGUGUGGCUAUAGAAUUUAUUGUCUAAACCCGAGCAACUUUGAGGGGAAAAGGGGAGUGCUAAACAUACUUAUAUACUUUUUGAAAUAUUUAUUAUUAGCUAAUAAUUUAUUUUUAUUGUAUCGGUAGCUCUAAAUUGUUCUAAAGCAAAUUAUAAAAUAGUUUUAAAAAUAGCUUAUAUUUGUAUGCCUACUUCCACAGAAAGGAAACUGUUGGCUGUGUUGUGUGCAUCCAGAGAGGAUUAAGAAUAAGAUUGGUUAUGUUACUGGACGUUGUUCAGAUACAAGCUUCUGUUACAGUGAGAACCCUUCUUGCUGUGCCCACACAGAUGUCUCAUGUGCUAUGAGAGGAAAUCAAGGGAGAGUCUGGAAGUGCAGAAACCAUCAAGGCCUACCUUAAUGCAACCAUUAAUAGCGUGGUUAAAAGUGAAAAAUUCUGGGAAAAAUCCUAAACUAGAUAGGAAGAUAGACUGAUAGGAAACCUAGUUUUUUUUAGUUGGAUAAUUAUAUAUCCCGAUAAAUCUCAAGGAACAAUUCCAAAAGAACAAGAAAGUGAGAGCUAAACUUGUAUCAUGGGAAUUCAUUGUAAGUAUUAAAGACAUACGCGAACUUUGAAACUUUAACAGUUUUGAGAUAGAGAAGAAUAUAAUUAUGACAUUGUUAUACAGAAUAUGUUCUUUAUAAUAAAAUGUCUUUAAUAUUCAG